rnacentral:tRNA from 1 species
GCUGCUAUGGCUCAGUAGGCAGAGCACGUCCUUGGUAAGGACGAGGUCACCGGUUCGAUCCCGGUUAGCAGCUCCA